rnacentral:lncRNA from 1 species
AGCGCAGGGAACGGCGGGAGCCGGGAGGUGACGGCUAGCAGCGUGAGAAGGCCGCUGGCUCCUGAGAAAUCCCCCUCCUCCAGGUGGUUUUGUCCUUUUGGACCAAUUAUCUAACCUGGGCCUGGACUCCAUCUACCACUGUCCUGCCUAGUUCACUGCAGCUCACUUCAUCUUCCUGUGCCUUCUCUGAAAGGGCCCCUCCAAAAGUUUCCUGGGUAUGUCCCCUCAAGAGAUGGGGUUUCACCAUGUUUCCCAGGCUGGUCUCGAACUCCUGGGACCUCAAGUGAUCCGCCCACCUCGGGCUCCCGAAGUCCUGGGAUUAUAGGCGUGAACCACCGUGCCUGACCAGGAUGAUGGGAAUUUUUAAUGGGAAGGCUGUGACACAACAAUUUUGUUGAAACAAUUUUGUUUCAACUAGAAGGUCAGAGGCAAAAAAAAGAAAUGCUAAGUCUGAUUAAAAGGGCCCCAGUACCUUCAAGGCCUGUCUAUGGUGGUACGGAGUGAUUAUUUCUAUCUUAUCUCUUUUACAGCUUGGUCUGGAGAGCUGCCUUAGACUUCCCAAUGAAUUUAUUAAAACAGCUGCCUCUGUAACCUUGACUUGUCUCAGAUUUUGUCGACCUGAGAUGGGUCCUGGCACUAGGAAUGUAAAACUGUCUCUAUUAUUUUGGUUUGCUCCAGCAAGGGAGAAGCCCAUGCAAGGCUCCUACUGACUGUAUGUUUCAUUUCUAGCUUGGAUGUCUCAGCACUGAUUUCUCUAGGUUUAACUAUUUGCUCAAUGUUCAGGCAGCGCUGUGGAAAUCUGUCUGUGGAACGGGUGCUACGCAGGCCUGUCUGUGCGACUGUCAUGCAGGCCUGUCUGUGCGAUUGUCAGGGAGAAUUGGCCUGCCACACUCCCACUCAUUUCUGCAUUCUCAUUAAGGCAUAUUAAGGAUUAGAAAGGGAUUGCUAGGCCAGGCCUGGCUAGUCUUCCUUAAAUGGAACUUUCAGAAAGAAAGGGGAAAACCAAAACAAUUUCCCCCUUCAACUUUUUAACUGUGUUUCUCUCGGGCCAAAGACCUCUUAGGGAUUUCCCCCGGGAGCUCUUUUUGCGAAGGAUGUUUUAUUUUUCCUUUGUGAAUAGGGACUAAUUCAUUCAUUAAAGCAACAUCUACUGAGCUUGUAUUACAGGUAAGCACUGCUCCAGGUGCUGGGGAAAACGGAGUGAACUGAAAUCACAAAAACCCUGCAGCACUCAUGCCAUGUACGUUCUAUUGAGGAAAACAAGCAAUAAACAAGAUUAAUAAU